CUGUUCAUGCCUGCUUCCUUGUCUUGCUUCCUUCUCAUUGUGUCCCCUGUCACCCCACUUUUUCCAUCCCUAGCCAUUAGUUUCCUGAUUAGUCUGCACUUUCUGCUCCAUUUACGGGUAAGUGACCGUCUCUCAAAUACUCUCAACUCCAGCUUUGCCAUGUGCCCAGUUUUCUUGCCUAACUGGUCAGCAGGACAUCUGGAACUGGGAAGAAUAUGCUGUUAGAAGCUGCGGGGUAGAAUGAGGUCACUCAGCAGGUGACCGAAAGGAAAAUAGCCACAGGGCUCCCGAUAAAGCCAAAAAGGGGAAGAAGACUGAUAUAACCAGACUGAGCUUCCAGUUAAAGAGGAAGGCGAUGAGCACGGCCACAAAGAUGUUAGUGAAGGAAUUGACCAUCAUCCCAACUUGAGAGCCAGUAGCCUGCAAAUCAAAAGGCUCUCUCACAGACCUGGGAUUAGCAAUUUUGCCAGUGUGCCCUAACGAGGAUCGUCUGGUCUCCCCGCAGCUGGACUGCAUGUGCGUCACCAAGUGCAGCUUUUCAUAGGAAUUGAAGUCAGACUUGCAUGUUUGCGAGCAAGGUCCCACCCAGACCCUCUCCCUGAUGGAAUGGCAGCUGGAGAGGUCAGUAAAGCCUGAUCUUGUCCUCCAUCCCAGACCAAUACCAGAAGGAUGGCCAGCAAACAAGCCAUAGACUCAUAUUUGUUGAAUGGAAUAGAAACCCUGACUAAGACAGAAGGAGUUACAGAGACAAAGUAUGGAGCAGAGACUGAAGGAAUGACCAUCCAGAGUCUGCCCCACCUGGAAUCCAUUCCAUAUACAAUCACCAAACCCAGACACUAUUGUGGAUGCCAACAAGUGCUUGCUGACAGGAGCCUGAUAUAGCUGUCUCCUGAGAGGUCCUGCCAGUGCCUGACAAAUACAGAAGUGGAUGCUCACAGCCACUGGACUGAGAACAGAGUCUCCAAUGAAAGGAGCUAGAGAAAGGACCCAAGGAGCUGAAAGGGUUUGCAUAGGAGGAACAACAAUAUGAACUAACUAGCACUCUCAGAGCUCCCAGGGACUAAACCACCAACCAACCAUGAGUGCACAUGGUGGGACUCAUGGCUCCAGAUGCAUAUAUGUAGCAGAGGAUUGCCUUGUUGGUCAUCAAUGGGAGGAGAGGCCCUUGGUCUUGUGAAGGCUCUAUGCCCCAGUGUAGGGGAAUGCCAGGGCCAGGAAGGGGGAGUGGGUGGGUUGGUGAGCAGAGGGAGGGGGAAGGGAAAGGGGGUUUUCAGAGGGGAAACCAGUAAAGGGGAUAACAUUUGAAAUGUAAAUAAGAAAAUAUCUAAUAAAAAAGAUGAUGUUAAUGGCUGAUAUUUGCAUAUGACACUUUAUGCAAAAUAAAUGUUAAUAAAACAUGAAAAGAUAAAAAUUAAAAAUAAAUGGCUAGAGAUGUUUCUACCCA
ensembl:antisense Gm13613 predicted gene 13613